UUGCACGCCGGCGGCAGGCCUAACACCUGCAAGUCGAGCGGAUGAAGGGAGCUUGCUCCUGGAUUCAGCGGCGGACGGGUGAGUAAUGCCUAGGAAUCUGCCUGGUAGUGGGGGAUAACGUCCGGAAACGGGCGCUAAUACCGCAUACGUCCUGAGGGAGAAAGUGGGGGAUCUUCGGACCUCGCGCUAUCAGAUGAGCCUAGGUCGGAUUAGCUAGUUGGUGGGGUAAAGGCCUACCAAGGCGACGAUCCGUAACUGGUCUGAGAGGAUGAUCAGUCACACUGGAACUGAGACACGGUCCAGACUCCUACGGGAGGCAGCAGUGGGGAAUAUUGGACAAUGGGCGAAAGCCUGAUCCAGCCAUGCCGCGUGUGUGAAGAAGGUCUUCGGAUUGUAAAGCACUUUAAGUUGGGAGGAAGGGCAGUAAGUUAAUACCUUGCUGUUUUGACGUUACCAACAGAAUAAGCACCGGCUAACUUCGUG
rnacentral:rRNA from 1 species